rnacentral:rRNA from 1 species
AUGGCGGCUCCUCGUAGUCGGCCGCGUCGGCGGCAGCCUGUACGCCAGCGGAGUCGGCUUCCGCGCCGUGGUCGAGGAAGGGAGAUGGCAUCGGGGCCGGGGCGUAUGGGGGUGGCGUGGGCUCAGGAGGGGACGGAGGGGACGGAGUGCACGGCGGCGGCGUUGGCGUGGGCUCAGGCUCAGGCUCAGGAGGGGACGGAGUGGGUUCAGGCUCAGGAGGGGACGGAGUGGGCGGGGGCGAGGGCGAGGGCGAGGGCGCGGCGGAUGCGGACGCGGCCUGGGAGGCUUCCUGUUGCUGUGGGAGGUGGUGAGCGGCGUCGGGGCGGGGUCGUAGCCGCCGCUGUCCGCCUGCUGGGUCUCCAAGGCCAGGCUCAGGAGCAGCAGGGCCACCAGCAGAGCGGCUUUGCCACCCGCCAUUCUCGCACUCCCUCACCGCCUCACGCACUGCAAAGUUCUUGGCUCGAUCGGUGUGGUUCUGGGAAGAAGAGUGCACCCAUACCACUGCUUAUAUACACGGAGGGAGGAGUCGCGUCCUUUGCUUGUGCGCGCAAGCGAUGGAGCUGGCGCUAUGCGGGGGAGGUUGGACACUCUGGAGUUACCCGAACUGGGCAAACCCUCAUGAACGGCGUUGUCUGCCGAAACAAGCUCCGACCCGCCUGCCGUAGCUCCGACCCGCCCCGGCUCCGUCCGCCGCCGCCCCGCAGCUCUGCCCCGCCCGGCUCCGUCUGCCACCGCCCCGGCCGCACGCUGCCGCCGCUCCACCGCUCUCACCGCUCUCCAAUAGUGCCGAAGAAGACGUCGAAGGGCAAGUCGGGCUUCUUCGGCGUGAGGCAGAAGCCCUCCGGUAAAUCCGGAGUGGAGUUCUCCGACGCCGGGAGGCGUUGGUGGAUUGGCACAUACCCCGCCCACGAGGCCGCGCGUGCCUACGACGUGGCACUGUGGCGUGCCGAGAGGCCUCGGUAG